GCCGCUUUCAAAUAAAAAAGGACCAGGACCAAUGGCUCUCGCCAGCUUCAAUAAAAGUCCCAUUCGUUGCUGCUGGAGCCAUAAAAUGGCUUUGAACAAUGAGGAUGAAACCUCCCAUGUGCUUCAGAACAGCGGGGCACCUAGCAUCAAAAUACCAGCGCAGGUUGAAAGGCGCAAAAUAAGGAGGAUCAAACAGAGGGAGGACACACAGGCUGUUUGAAGAGCCCACCGCCAGCUCCCCUAUGGGUGGGGAAACUGGCAGAUGCUCAAACCACACAGCUCUAUCAAGAGGGGAGGAGUGGCCCCUCUCAU